CAUCUCUGUUUCCAUCUCUUUUUCUUUCCUCUUUCUCUCUCUCCUUAACUCUUCAAUUUCUUGCCGUAAUCGCUCUUCAAUUUCUUGCCGUAAUCGCUUGUUCUCCUCCUCUGCUAAUCUUGACGUCUCUUUACUCGAAUCCUCUAUCUGAGAUUUGAGCAACAUGACAACAGAAACAGAUUCCCUGAGUAGGUUGACCUACGCCUGUGGGAAGUAAACGUCGUAAGAGUGAGU
rnacentral:lncRNA from 1 species